rnacentral:piRNA from 1 species
UCCAUUUGUUCCCUUUAAUUU